AUUGAACGCUGGCGGCAUGCUUUACACAUGCAAGUCGAACGGCAGCACGGACUUCGGUCUGGUGGCGAGUGGCGAACGGGUGAGUAAUGCAUCGGAACGUGCCCAGUCGUGGGGGAUAACGCAGCGAAAGCUGCGCUAAUACCGCAUACGAUCUAUGGAUGAAAGCGGGGGACCGUAAGGCCUCGCGCGAUUGGAGCGGCCGAUGUCAGAUUAGGUAGUUGGAGGGGUAAAGGCUCACCAAGCCAACGAUCUGUAGCUGGUCUGAGAGGACGACCAGCCACACUGGGACUGAGACACGGCCCAGACUCCUACGGGAGGCAGCAGUGGGGAAUUUUGGACAAUGGGCGCAAGCCUGAUCCAGCAAUGCCGCGUGCAGGAAGAAGGCCUUCGGGUUGUAAACUGCUUUUGUACGGAACGAAAAGGCUCUGGUUAACACCUGGGGCUCAUGACGGUACCGUAAGAAUAAGCGCCGGCUAACUACGUGCCAGCCGCCGCCGUAACAC
rnacentral:rRNA from 1 species